AGAGAGAGACAUGCGCGCAUAUCAAUAAGCGGAGGAAAAGAAACUAACUAGGAUUCCCUUAGUAACGGCGAGUGAAGCGGGAAGAGCUCAAAUUUGAAAUCUUCAAGGUUUUACCUUGACGAAUUGUAGUUUAUAGAAGUGUUUUCUGUUAGUGGAGUUGGUAAAAGUUCUUUGGAAUAGGACAUCAUAGAGGGUGAGAAUCCCGUAUUUGGUCAUUCCUCCUAGCGUUGUGAUACACUUUCAACGAGUCGGAUUGUUUGGGAAUGCAGUCCAAAAUGGGUGGUAAAUUUCAUCUAAAGCUAAAUAUUGGCGAGAGACCGAUAGCGAACAAGUACCGUGAGGGAAAGAUGAAAAGAACUUUGAAAAGAGAGUUAAACAGUACGUGAAAUUGUCAAAAGGGAAGCGUUUGACACCAGUGUUGUUUUUCCGAAAAUCAAUUACGAAUGUUUUAGUUUUUGAGGAGUUAUGACUUCAUCGGCUUGCUCCUUUCUUUACGAAACUUUCUUAAUGCACUUUUCGGUUAACAAGUCAACAUCAAUUUCUUUUGUUGUAAAAGGGUAUGAGGAAGGUGGCUUUCUUUUCGGAGAAAGUGUUUAUAGCCUUGUGCCUCUGCAAUCGGAGAGAUUGAGGUCUGCAGCGUAGAUCCUUCGGGGUUAGAUACGUUUGUGCUAAGUUAUAGCUUUUCAUAGACAACUUGUUGACUAUGUUUAGUCUUGUAGCUUACUCGCUGACGCUAUUUUACCUACGCUUAGGAUGUUGAUAGUCACAGCGUGUAC
rnacentral:rRNA from 1 species